rnacentral:rRNA from 1 species
GACGAACGCUGGCGGCGUGCUUAACACAUGCAAGUCGAACGGUAAGGCCCUUCGGGGUACACGAGUGGCGAACGGGUGAGUAACACGUGGGUGAUCUGCCCUGCACUUCGGGAUAAGCCUGGGAAACUGGGUCUAAUACCGGAUAGGACUCCUGGCUUCAUGGUUGGGGGUGGAAAGCUUUUGCGGUGUGGGAUGGGCCCGCGGCCUAUCAGCUUGUUGGUGGGGUAAUGGCCUACCAAGGCGACGACGGGUAGCCGGCCUGAGAGGGUGACCGGUCACACUGGGAAUGAGAUACGGCCCAGACUCCUACGGGAGGCAGCAGUGGGGAAUAUUGCACAAUGGGCGCAAGCCUGAUGCAGCGACGCCGCGUGAGGGAUGACAGCCUUCGGGUUGUAAACCUCUUUCAGCUAUGACGAAGCGCAAGUGACGGUAGUAGCAGAAGAAGGACCGGCCAACUACGUGCCAGCCGCCGCGGUAA